UCUCCGUAGGUGAACCUGCGGAGGGAUCAUUACAGAGUUCAUGCCCUACCGGGUAGAUCUCCCACCCUAUGUUAUUAUUACUUUGUUGCUUUGGCGGGCCGUUAGGCUCCGGCCCGACUACCGGCCCCGGCUAGUAAGCGCCCGCCAGAGGACCCAAAACCCUGAAUAUUAGUGUCGUCUGAGUACUACAUAAUAGUUAAAACUUUCAACAACGGAUCUCUUGGUUCUG
rnacentral:misc_RNA from 1 species